rnacentral:rRNA from 1 species
CCUACGGGAGGCUGCAGUGAGGAAUAUUGGUCAAUGGACGCGAGUCUGAACCAGCCAAGCCGCGUGCAGGAUGAAGGUACAAAGUGUUGUAAACCGCUUUUGUCCGGGGACAAAGGCGGAUACGUGUCUCCGGCUGAGUGUAUCGUACGAAAAAGCAUCGGCUAACUCCGUGCCAGCAGCCGCGGUAAUACGGAGGAUGCAAGCGUUAUCCGGAUUUAUUGGGUUUAAAGGGUGCGUAGGCGGUAGGGUAAGUCAGAUGUGAAAUCCCGGGGCUCAACCUUGGGAUUGCCUUUGAAACUGUUUGUCUUGAGUGUUGGAGCGGUAAUCGGAAUUCAGGGUGUAGCGGUGAAAUGCGUAGAGAU